CAAAAGCAAACAUGAAAGACUAAGAAUAACAAAUUUCCCUCGUAAGACACAGUCAGAUCCGCAAACGCUACAACAACACUAAAUAUUAGAACUUUGGUUUCAAAAUCAAAGAUGCCAACUUAGUUAGUUGCAAAACGCCUCUCUAUUUCAAUCGCUCAUCUAGUUCUUCCACAACCGAAGGCUCUGAUUUUAGGUACCAAACAAAUUGUAAGAAACAUGAUUCAAGUAAUACCGACUAAAACAAAACAAAAUCAAAAAGAUAGAAUUUACCGCCAGCUCUCUCUUUCCUGUGUGUUUUCGUCUCGUCGUCAUCUUUUUCGGCACCAUCUCUAUCGUCGAAAUAUUAAGCUCUCUUCUUCUAUUUCACUUUGGAAAUCAUAAAUCUUGAUUAAAAUAGAAAUAUUAUGUCCACAAGUAAAAGGCUACUAGGUUAUAAAAAAAAGGUUAGUGGGCUAAUUAUUAAAAUCAGUUAAACUUGGAUUCAGGUCCACCAGUUCAAUUUAUUCAAAAUUUGAAAAACAAGCUAAAAAUAAAAAGCAACGAGGGAAUUAGUUUCUGGUUUGCUUUUUUUAGGGUCACGAUGGUCUUUCAUUCCAAUAAAUUACCCAAGUAGUGCUAUGUGACCUGCAAUGUAAUUAAAACUCAGAAACUGUCUCUGAGUAUAAAUCACUCGAUAUAAUAUCUCUUUACUAGAGCUUUACUAUUUUUAAUGAGGAAAUUUUUUGAUAAUGCAUUAGAUAAUGCACCAGAGCUUUACAAUUUUUUUUUAAACAAUUUUUUUAGUUUUUGAUUCAUUUAAAAAUAUUAUUUCUAAGCUUAUUUAUAGGGUUCAUAUUUGGAGUCCAAAUACUUAUUUGCUUAAUGUAAACAUAUUUAUUUCGGCUCACACGCGUGUUCAAUCAGUUUUUAACUUUUAACUUUUAGAGCAGGAUUAACGGCAGAUCUUAAGGGGGCUCUUAGGUUAAUUUCCAAUUAAAAGAAAAAGAAAAAAAUUGAAUUAACUUAAACGCCGAAUCUUAAUUAGGCAAAAGAAGGAUCGGCUCUUGGGCAACACGUGUCGUCGUUUGCGUCUCUCCCUCUUUCUUUCUCGAUAGAUCCAGUCUUCGCAUGCACAAACCACCGCUUCGUCUCUCUCUCUCUAUCUCUCUCUAUGUCUCUCUGUGGCCUUGAUCGACGAUGAAUCAAUCCGGCUCUCUCGCGGUGGCUCUCAUCGAGGAGGAGAAACGGUGACCUAUAUCGGUGGCUCUCCUCGAGGGGUAAAACGACGAAUCGUCUCUCGGUGGCUCUCCUAAGGGGGAAAACGGCGAAGCAUCUCACGGUGGCUCUCCUAGACGGGGAAAACGACAAAUCACUCCGAGUCUCUCUCUCUCCGGCUCUGAUGUUUGAAGAAUCGUAUCUCUCUCUUGGCGGAUCUUAUCGAAGUCGUCUCUCUCACGGCGGCUCUGAUCGAAAUCGUGUCUCUCUCACGGCGGCUCUGAUCGAAAUCGUCCCUCUUUCACGGCGGCUCUGAUCGAAAUCAUCUCUCUCACGGCGGCUCGAAUCACUCCGCCUCUAAAGCUAAGUUAUUGUGUUCAUAUGUCUGGUUAUCAAUGUCUGAUUAUCAAUGGUGAUAUGUUUUAUUUUAUCGUUUAUGUCUGGUUAUCAAUGUUGAUAUGUUUGAUUGGAUCGUUUAUGUCUGUUGAUUCUGUCUGGUUAGUAAUCCACCUUGUUCGGGUCACAAGUUUAUCAAGUUCAUAAGUUUGUUGUCUUGAUUUGUUUGUUGUGUUGCUAUGAUAUGCUCUGUUGGUUUCUGUCUGGAAGGAAUGUUAAAUCCUUCAUGUUCAAUGUCGAUAUGUUUGUUGUGUUCCGGUGAUUAAUCAUUUGAUUCUUUUUGAUAGUUUCAGUGUUUGUUUGGUAAGAUGGAAGUAUGCAGAGAGUGGAUGAAGCUUUCAGCAAAGCUUUCAACCAAGCUUUCAACAAAUGAAAUAUAGGUACAACAUCUCUCAUUGACUUUUUUUCCUGUCAGAAAUAAAUCUUGGUGAAUUGAUAAGAUUAGAUUACGGUUGAUGAUAGUAAUAAAUGUUAGUCACCGUUUGAUAGAAAUUGAUUUAAAUAAUGGUUGUGAUUAAUGGGUUAGAUAGAUGUAAUAAAUAUGGUUAGCUAUAAAUCACUUCUCGAUUUAGAUAAUGGUAGUGUUAGAUACAUGUCUUGUCUUUGUGGGUGGUUGUGUUGAAUGAUAUCUCUCCCAUCUACUCUUCUCCCGCAUUGCUCUUAUCUUAAUAUGUUCUAUAAAACACUUCUGAACAUCUCUCUCUCUUUUACUCCCGCAUUGCUCUUAUCUUUUUGUCUUCUUAAUCCAUUUUCCGAUAUGGAUUCAAAUCCCUUUAGCCACAACUUCGUUGAUUUUUUAAAAAUCAACAAGAAACCGUAUUUGGUUUUCCAGAAGAUAGGGUGGAAUUAUCUUCAUCGCAAGUCCUUUUUAUGGCAGCCAAGCUUGUAACUCUUCUUCUAACUUUGUUGAAGAGACUCAAGCAGAGCGCCGAGAAAGGAGGGUAUGGACGCCAGUUGAUGAUUUGUCCUCAUCAGCGUCUGGCUUAACACAAGAAAAGAUCCGGUGAUAGGCAAUGAGCAAAAAUGUGGUACCUUUUGGAAAAAGGAUUGCAGCAUACUUUGCUGCAAGUCCUUAGGUUGCAGGGAGGGAAAACAGAGAAUCUAGUCACUGCAAACAACUCUGGUAGAAGAUCAACGACCUUGUCAACAAGUUCUGCGGGGCUUAUGAGGCUGCAAGUAGAGAGAAAACAAGCGGUCAAAACGAGAAUGAUGUUCUCAAGCUGGCUCAUGAAAUAUUCUACAACAACCACCCAAAAAAAUUCAACCUUGACCAUGCUUGGAUGGAGCUCUGUAAUGACCAGAAAUGGUGUGAGAUUUCUAAAUCCAAAUUCCAUGGAAGCGGUAAAAGGAGGAAGCUUGAUGAAGGUGCACAAUCAUCAACCUCUCACGCAUCUGAGGCUAGUAUUGCUGAUGCUGAGCAUCCCCCGGGUGUGAAGGCUGCAAAGGCGAAUGUUAAAAAGGUGAAGGCAGAGGGGAAGACACUUUCAGAGUUUGAGAGGAUGUGGAGCAUCAAGCAGGAGGAUUUGACCAGUAAAGAAAGACUCUCGAAGAUGAAGCUUCUUGAUAGUUUAAUUGGAAAACAAGAGCCUCUUGCUGAGUAUGAAGAGGCUCUUAAGAAGAAGCUUGUUACUGAUUUGUUGUCAAAUUAAAUCAUGUCUUAGAAUGCGGUACAAAAAGAGUGACAGAGUGGAGCAUUGCGAGGGGAACAAGAAGAGACUGAAGCUUGCAAUGUAGUGUAGUGUAGCUUAUGUCACGGAAGCUUGUUUUGUUGUGUGUCUGGAAGCUUGUAUUGUUGUGUGUAUGUGUCACGGAUUAGUGUCUUUUUUUUAUUAUUGUGUAGUCACGAGACUACAUCAGUAUACGUGUAUGCUUGUAAGUGUUGUAUUAUUGUGUAGUCACGAGGCUACACAAGUAUGGUUGUAACUCUUCUUCUCUCGUUCUAUAUAUUAAGUUUGCAUU